GACGAACGCUGGCGGCGUGCCUAAUACAUGCAAGUCGAACGCAGUGGGGACGGGUGAGUAACACGUGGGUAACCUCCCAUCAGAGGGGAUAACACUUGGAAACAGGUGCUAAACCGAUACUGAUGGAUGGACCCGCGGUGCAUUAGCUAGUUGGUGAGGUACCGGCUCACCAAGGGCACGAUGCAUAGCCGACCUGAGAGGGUGAUCGGGCACACUGAGGCUGAGACACGACCCAGACUCCUACAGAAGGCAGAAGUAGGGAAUCUACGGCAAUGGACGGAAGUCUGACCGAGCGACGCCGCGUGGGUGAAGAAGGUUUUCGGAUCGUAGGACUCUGUUGUUAGAGAAGCGGUAUCUAACCAGAAAGCCACGGCUAACUACGUGCCAGCAGCCGCGGUAAUAC
rnacentral:rRNA from 1 species